UAAGCGGAGGAAAAGAAACUAACAAGGAUUCCCCUAGUAACUGCGAGUGAAGCGGGAAAAGCUCAAAUUUGGAAUCUGGUGGUCUUUGGCCAUCCGAGUUGUAAUUUAGAGAAGCGUCUUCCGCGCUGGACCGUGCACAAGUCUCCUGGAAUGGAGCGUCAUAGAGGGUGAGACUCCCGUCUUUGGCACGGAAUCCCAGGGCUUCUGUGAUGCGCUCUCGACGAGUCGAGUUGUUUGGGAAUGCAGCUCAAAAUGGGUGGUGAACUCCAUCUAAAGCUAAAUAUUGGCGAGAGACCGAUAGCGAACAAGUACCGUGAGGGAAAGAUGAAAAGCACUUUGGAAAGAGAGUGAAACAGUACGUGAAAUUGUUGAAAGGGAAACGCUUGAAGUCAGUCGCGUCGACCGAGACUCAGCCUUGCCUCGGCUUGGUGUACUUCUCGGCUUGACGGGUCAGCAUCGAUUUCGAUCCUCGGAUAAUGGCAAGGGAAAGGUAGCACCUUUUUAGGUGUGUUAUAGUCCUCUGUCGCAUGCGAGGGUCGGGAUCGAGGAACUCAGCACGCACCUCAGGGUGUCGGGGCCUUCUUGGCCCACGUUUACGUGCUUAGGAUGCUGGCGUAAUGGCUUUAAACGACC
rnacentral:rRNA from 1 species